rnacentral:rRNA from 1 species
ACGGAAGGCAGCAGUGGGGUAUAUUGCACAAUGGAGGAAACUCUGAUGCAGCAAUGCCGCGUGAGGGAAGAAGGUCUUCGGAUUGUAAACCUAAGUAGACAGGGACGAUAAUGACGGUACCUGUAAAGUAAGCUCCGGCUAACUACGUGCCAGCAGCCGCGGUAAUACGUAGGGAGCGAGCGUUGUCCGGAAUUACUGGGUGUAAAGGGUGCGUAGGCGGGUCUGCGAGUCAGGUGUGAAAUACCGGGGCUUAACUCCGGGGCUGCACUUGAAACUGUGGAUCUUGAGUGAAGUAGAGGUAAGUGGAAUUCCCAGUGUAGCGGUGAAAUGCGUAGAUAUUGGGAGGAACACCAGUGGCGAAGGCGACUUGCUGGGCUUUAACUGACGCUGAGGCACGAAAGCAUGGGGAGCAAACAGGAUUAGAUACCCUGGUA